rnacentral:rRNA from 1 species
GUAGGUGGCAAGCGUUGUCCGGAAUUAUUGGGCGUAAAGCGCGCGCAGGCGGUCCUUUAAGUCUGAUGUGAAAGCCCACGGCUCAACCGUGGAGGGUCAUUGGAAACUGGGGGACUUGAGUACAGAAGAGGAAAGCGGAAUUCCAAGUGUAGCGGUGAAAUGCGUAGAGAUUUGGAGGAACACCAGUGGCGAAGGCGGCUUUUCUGGUCUGUAACUGACGCUGAGGCGCGAAAGCGUGGGGAGCAAACAGGAUUAGAUACCCUGGUAGUCCACGCCGUAAACGAUGAGUGCUAAGUGUUAGGGGGUUUCCCGCCCCCCUUAGUGCUGCAGCUAACGCAUUAAGCACUCCGCCUGGGGAGUACGCCGCAAGGCUG